rnacentral:misc_RNA from 1 species
CCGAGCGCGCCGCUGCCGCCGCGUCGUCCGCUGUCGGGGAUAAGCCGAGGGUGUCUCUCCGCAGAUGUGUGGUCGCGAAGGAGUGAUCUCCGGUGUGUUGUGGGUGCUAGUGUGAAGCAGGAGAGUGCCAGGAUGAGUGCCGGACUGCGUACCGCGCAGGUCAUUGACCUGGAGGAGCUGAACCAGUGGCUGGCUCAGCUGGAGGACGAAAAUCAAGGUGAUAUCACACAGAAGGGCUAUGAGAAGAAGCGGAGUAAGCUGCUCGCGCCGUACCUGCCUGGUCAGUCAGAGAGCAGUAGUCCUCCGGUGCCGCUGCCGCGUCAGAGCCGCCAACAGAAGACCCCGACAGGCGAGGGAGCCGCCAGUCCCAGCAGCCGAGCACGACGGCGGGCACAGCGACGAGUCACUAGGAAUGAAUCUCGGUACCACUCAGAGGUGCGUCAGGAAGCCGUGCAGCAGGCCAUCGCGGCCAUGCAGAGCCGGCCCAAGCAGCUACCGAUGCCCUCCAAACGACAGUCGGUGAUGGCUCGCAGUCCAGAGGCCGAGCGGCGGCGUCGGAGGGACUCGGACAACGACUCGAGUUCUGACGAGGACGACAGCUCCGUUCCGGGCGAGCCGGCCACCCCCGAGGUGGACCGAUCCCGUCACCACGGCCCGCCCCCGUCCGACACCAGCAGUCUGGGCUCGGCGCGAGACACACCGCCACAGAGCAGGGCACGCACCGGGCCGCUGCCUCCCCUGCCUGGUCAGCAACCGGCCGUACCGCAGCAGCCGCCGCCGCCGCCGAUACAGCAGAUACAGCAGCAGCAGAUACAGCAGAUACAACAGAUACAGCAGCAGUCGCAGCAGCCCAACACCGUCCAGAACAGGCUCAGUAGCAGCUCCCAGUCGUCCAACCACGACCGGCAGCGGGCACGGCUCCGGGACGAGAUGACACAGCUCUCAGAGGUCAUGGACAACCUCGCACCCUACUGCGAGCCGCCGGACGUGACCCACAACACGGGCAGCAGUCGCAGCUCGCGUUACCAGCCGCCGCACAUGGCCUCUGUGCGCGUCAACAGUAGUACCAGCAUCACGGCCGCACUGGACGAGGCGCACGGAGCCACCGCCCGCUGGAAGGUCUCCACCAAGAUUCAGCAGCUUCUCAACACGCUGAAGCGGCCCAAGCGGCGACCUCUGCCAGAGUUCUAUAUGGAUGAUGAGGAGGAGCUAGAGAUGGCUGCCAGAGUCCGAGACCCGGCCGCGCCCAAACCCGAGGGAGGACCCAUGACGCCCGCCGUCGGCGAGCAUUUAGAGAUCCCCGCUGGCCUGCCUCGGAACCUGGAGGCUGCCGUCCAGCGGUACGGCUCCGCCACCUUCAAGGCGUCGUGCGCCUCCGUGCUAGACGCCACCAACAAACCCUCCGUGCCGCUCACCUACGGCAAACUGCUCAGUCGGGCGCACAAGAUCGCCUUCGCACUCCUCAACAAGGCGCGCGGCGAGACCAGCCUGAAGCCGGGUGAUAGGGUGGCGCUGGUGUACCCCAACAGUGACCCCGUGAGCUUCAUGUGCGCCUUCUACGGGUGUCUGUAUGCCGGCAUGGUGCCGGUACCCAUCGAGGUGCCCAUCACAAGGAGGGACGCCGGUUCGCUGCAGAUUGGGUUCCUGCUGGGCAGCUGCGGCGUCCAGGUGGCCCUCACCACCGAACCCUGUCACAAGGGCCUGCCCAAGACGGCCAGCGGCGAGGUGGCUGUGUUUAAAGGCUGGCCCAAACUGCACUGGUUCAUCACAGAACACCUAGCGCGGCCGCCCAAAGAGUGGCAGCCGCCGCCGCGACUCAACGACGACACGCCCGCCUAUGUCGAGUACACCUCUGGCGGCGACGGCUCGGUGAUGGGUGUCACGGUGAGCCGGGCCGCCAUGCUGGCCCAGUGCCGCACCCUCACGUCCGCCUGCGGCUACACGGAGGGAGAAAUCUGCGUCUGCGUGGUCGACUUCAAACGCGAGGUGGGCCUGUGGCACGCCACGCUGUGUUCCGUGUUCAAUGGCAUGCACGUCAUCUUCAUCCCCUACUCACUGAUGAAGGUGAACCCGGCCAGCUGGAUGCAGAUGAUCACAAAGUUCAAAGCGAGCAUCGCGAUCGUCAAGUCUCGCGACCUGCACUGGGGUCUGCUGGCCACCAAGGACCACAAGGACAUCAACCUGUCCUCUCUGCGGCUGCUGCUGGUGGCGGAUGGUGCCAACCCGUGGUCGCUCAGCUCCUGCGACCAGUUCCUAAGCGUGUUCCAGUCCAAAGGUCUGCGCCCGGACGCCAUCUGCCCAUGUGCCAGCAGUUGUGAAACGAUGACAGUGGCGGUGCGCCGGCCCGGGCAGGGAGGUGCCAACACGACAGGCCGGGGGGUGCUCAGCAUGGCCGGCCUGAGUCACGGCGUGGUGCGCGUGGACCAGGAGAACAGCCUGACCUCGCUGACACUGCAGGACUGCGGACAGGUGCUGCCCGGAGCGACCACUGUUGUGGUGCGGCCGGACGGCGAGCCGCGGCUCUGCAGUACGGACGAGGUGGGUGAGAUCUGCGUCAGCUCGGCCGCAGCCGGCACCAGCUACUGGGGGCUGCAGGGCGUCACCAACCAGACCUUCCGCGUGCGACCGCUGCGCGCCGACGGCUCCGGUCUCGGAGACCAGGACUACGUGCGCAGCGGACUGCUCGGAUUCCUCGGACCGGGCGGUCUGGUGUUCGUGUGCGGCUCUCGCCAGGGCCUGAUGACCGUCUCCGGCCGGAAACACAACACGGACGACAUCAUCGCCACCAUCCUGGCCGUCGAGCCGAUGAAGUUCAUCUACCGGGGACGGAUCGGCGUGUUCAGCAUCCGCGUGCUGCGCGACGAGCGCAUCUGCGUGGUGGCAGAGCAGAGGCCAGAGUGCACAGAGGAACAGAGUUUCCAGUGGAUGUCACGGGUGCUGCAGGCGGUCGACUCGAUCCACCAGGUCGGCAUCUACUGUCUGUGUCUGGUGCCGCACAACUACCUGCCCAAGACGCCCCUGGGAGGCAUCCACCUGUCGGAGACGAAGCGGCGCUUCCUGGACGGGUGCCUGCACCCGGCCAACGUGCUCAUGUGUCCGCACACGUGUGUCACCAACCUGCCGAAGCCGCGCGAGGUGCACAAAGCCGACGUGGGUCCUGCCAGCGUGAUGCUGGGUAACAUCGUGCAGGGGAACCGGCUGGCGACGGCGCAGGGACGGGACCUGGGCACCGCCGACGACGAGAACGAUACCACCAAAAAGCACCAGUUCAUCUCGGAGAUUCUGCGCUGGCGGGCACAGACCACCUCCGACCACGCGCUGUUCACACUGCUCAACGCCAAGGGCGGGCCGAGCUCCACACUCACCUGCGCGCAGCUGCACAAGAGGGCGGAGCGGGUUGGCUGCCUUCUCCUGGAGAAGGGUCACGUCAACACGGGCGACCACGUGGCGCUCGUCUAUCCGCCCGGCCUCGACCUCAUCGCCGCCUUCUACGGCUGCCUCUACGUCGGCGCGGUACCGGUCACCAUCCGGCCGCCGCACCCUCAGAACCUGCAGACCACGCUGCCCACCGUCCGCAUGACGGUCGACGUCAGCAAGUCGGUGCUCAUCCUCUCCAACCAGACGGUCAUCAAGCUGCUGCGCUCCAAGGAGGCGUCCAACGUGGUCGAUGUCAAGUCGUGGCCGCCCACACUGGACACAGACGACAUGCCAAAGAGGAAACUGGUGGCCGUGUACCGGGCGCCCACGGCAGAGAUGCUCGCCUACCUCGACUUCAGCGUCUCCACGACGGGCAUGCUGGCCGGCAUCAAGAUGUCACACGCUGCCACCACGUCGUUGUGCCGAUCCAUGAAGUUGGCCUGCGAGCUGUACCCGUCGCGGCACGUGGCGCUCUGCCUGGACCCCUACUGCGGGCUCGGCUUCGCGCUCUGGUGCCUCAGCAGCAUCUACUCGGGCCACCACUCGAUCCUGAUACCGCCUUCGGAGGUGGAGACCAACCCGGCCCUGUGGCUGACCGCCGUCAGCCAGCACAAAGUCAGGGAUACCUUCUGCUCAUACGGUGUGAUGGAGCUCUGCACCAAGGGCCUCUCGUCAUCCAUCCCCCUGCUGCGCCAGCGCGGUGUGAACCUCUCCUGCGUGCGUACCUGCGUGGUGGUGGCGGAGGAGCGGCCUCGGAUCGCGCUCUGUACCUCCUUCAGUCGACUGUUCUCCGGGCUGGCUCUGAGUCCGCGGGCAGUCAGCACCAGCUUCGGGUGCCGCGUCAAUGUGGCCAUCUGUCUGCAGGGCGCCUCGUCUCCGGACCCGAGCACGGUGUUUGUGGAUCUGCGUGCGCUGAGGAACGACCGCGUCACGCUGGUAGAGCGCGGAGCACCUCACAGCCUCUGUCUGAUGGAGUCGGGCAAACUGCUGCCCGGAGUGAAGGUCAUCAUCGCCAACCCGGAGACCAAGGGUCACUGCGGCGACUCCAACCUCGGGGAGAUCUGGGUGCAGUCGCCACACACCUCGACGGGCUACUUCACCAUCUACGGAGACGACUCGGGCACCUCGGAUCACUUCACUGCCCAGCUGGUCACCGGCUCGACGGGCGAGGUGUACGCACGGACCGGCUACCUGGGCUUCCUGCGACGCACCGACAGUGUGGCUGCGGAUGGCGAGAAGCACGACGCCGUAUUCGUGGUGGGCUCGCUGGACGAGACGGUGAUGCUGCGGGGGAUGCGCUACCACCCGAUCGACAUCGAGACCUCGGUGCUCAAGUGCCACAAGAAGGUGGUCGAAUGCGCGGUGUUCGUGUGGACCAACCUGCUGGUGGUGGUGGCCGAGCUGGAGGGAAACGAGGACGACGCCCUCGACCUGGUGCCACUCAUCACCAACGCUGUCCUCGAGGAUCACCACCUCAUCGUCGGCGUCGUGGUGGUCGUCGACCCCGGCGUCGUGCCCAUCAACUCGCGCGGAGAGAAGCAGCGCAUGCACCUGCGCGACGGCUUCCUGCAGGAUCAGCUCGACCCCAUCUAUGUCGCCUACAACAUGUGAACGAACUACUCGUGUGUGUGUGUGACGGAGGAGUCUGAGCCGGCAGCUCGCCGCCGGCCGGCGGACGCCCGGUCCAGUGUCGGAGCGGACAGAGCGCUCCGGUAGCGGUGCUAGGGACGUGUGAGGACGCCGGGGACGCUCACAGACUCGCGGCCGGCACCGCCGAGACGCUCGCACUGCCAGAGGGCGGCCGGCGCGCGCGCGCCGCACCCUCACUCACCGCUCUCGCUCUCUGUCUCUGUGGGCCGGCCGCCGCGGUCGGCCGUGUUAUCGUCCCGGGCGCCGGGCGUGUGUUGCUAGCGAUAGCCUCGGUAGAGAGAUAUUACACGAGGUAGUGUGCGCCCCGCCGCGACCGGACAGUCGGCGCGGCGCUGCCGUGCGCGGCGGCUUCGUUAUUUACAUUGCUAGUCGUUUUCCCGGUGUUUUACUUUUCGUUGGUUUUGUCUUUCAUGUGUACAGCGGACGCGAGCGCGCGCCAUUGCAGCACGGACUGGCCGUGGCCGGCGUGCACGUGCUCUGUGAUGGCAUUUUCCAUAGUGCGCGCGCCGCGGCCGGGCGGCGCUAUCGUUCUGGGCAGCAGUGGCGGGCGGGUGGCUAGCCGCCCGUCUCCGUGGUUAUUUUAUUGGUAGCGGGCGGCACUGACCGACCGAACAGUCCUGGCCGGUAGAGGUGGAGCCCGGCGCAGUCUGGUGUGAGGUCGGCCGGCGCCGGCCAGCUGUUUAUAAAGGUAUGGAUAUCACAAUAAAGAAACAAAACAAA